GGGUUGUGAGGUUAAGCGACUAAGCGUACACGGUGGAUGCCCUGGCAGUCAGAGGCGAUGAAGGGCGUACUAAUCUGCGAUAAGCGCCGGUAAGGUGAUAUGAACCGUUAUAACCGGCGAUACCCGAAUGGGGAAACCCAGUGUGAUUCGUCACACUAUCAUUAACUGAAUCCAUAGGUUAAUGAGGCGAACCGGGGGAACUGAAACAUCUAAGUACCCCGAGGAAAAGAAAUCAACCGAGAUUCCCCCAGUAGCGGCGAGCGAACGGGGAGGAGCCCAGAGCCUGAAUCAGCAUGUGUGUUAGUGGAAGCGUCUGGAAAGGCGCGCGAUACAGGGUGACAGCCCCGUACACAAAAGCGCAUGUGCUGUGAGCUCGAUGAGUAGGGCGGGACACGUGGUAUCCUGUCUGAAUAUGGGGGGACCAUCCUCCAAGGCUAAAUACUCCUGACUGACCGAUAGUGAACCAGUACCGUGAGGGAAAGGCGAAAAGAACCCCGGCGAGGGGAGUGAAAAAGAACCUGAAACCGUGUACGUACAAGCAGUGGGAGCACNNNNNNNNNNGUGUGACUGCGUACCUUUUGUAUAAUGGGUCAGCGACUUAUAUUCUGUAGCAAGGUUAACCGAAUAGGGGAGCCGGAGGGAAACCGAGUCUUAAUUGGGCGUUAAGUUGCAGGGUAUAGACCCGAAACCCGGUGAUCUAGCCAUGGGCAGGUUGAAGGUUGGGUAACACUAACUGGAGGACCGAACCGACUAAUGUUGAAAAAUUAGCGGAUGACCUGUGGCUGGGGGUGAAAGGCCAAUCAAACCGGGAGAUAGCUGGUUCUCCCCGAAAGCUAUUUAGGUAGCGCCUCGUGAAUUCAUCUCCGGGGGUAGAGCACUGUUUCGGCUAGGGGGCCAUCCCGGCUUACCAACCCGAUGCAAACUGCGAAUACCGGAGAAUGUUAUCACGGGAGACACACGGCGGGUGCUAACGUCCGUCGUGAAGAGGGAAACAACCCAGACCGCCAGCUAAGGUCCCAAAGUCAUGGUUAAGUGGGAAACGAUGUGGGAAGGCCCAGACAGCCAGGAUGUUGGCUUAGAAGCAGCCAUCAUUUAAAGAAAGCGUAAUAGCUCACUGGUCGAGUCGGCCUGCGCGGAAGAUGUAACGGGGCUAAACCAUGCACCGAAGCUGCGGCAGCGACACUGUGUGUUGUUGGGUAGGGGAGCGUUCUGUAAGCCUGCGAAGGUGGCCUGUGAGGGUUGCUGGAGGUAUCAGAAGUGCGAAUGCUGACAUAAGUAACGAUAAAGCGGGUGAAAAGCCCGCUCGCCGGAAGACCAAGGGUUCCUGUCCAACGUUAAUCGGGGCAGGGUGAGUCGACCCCUAAGGCGAGGCCGAAAGGCGUAGUCGAUGGGAAACGGGUUAAUAUUCCCGUACUUGGUGUUACUGCGAAGGGGGGACGGAGAAGGCUAUGUUGGCCGGGCGACGGUUGUCCCGGUUUAAGCGUGUAGGUGUGUGUUCCAGGUAAAUCCGGUUCACUUUAACACUGAGGCGUGACGACGAGGCACUACGGUGCUGAAGCAACAAAUGCCCUGCUUCCAGGAAAAGCCUCUAAGCAUCAGGUAACAUCAAAUCGUACCCCAAACCGACACAGGUGGUCAGGUAGAGAAUACCAAGGCGCUUGAGAGAACUCGGGUGAAGGAACUAGGCAAAAUGGUGCCGUAACUUCGGGAGAAGGCACGCUGACACGUAGGUGAAGUGAUUUACUCAUGGAGCUGAAGUCAGUCGAAGAUACCAGCUGGCUGCAACUGUUUAUUAAAAACACAGCACUGUGCAAACACGAAAGUGGACGUAUACGGUGUGACGCCUGCCCGGUGCCGGAAGGUUAAUUGAUGGGGUCAGCGCAAGCGAAGCUCCUGAUCGAAGCCCCGGUAAACGGCGGCCGUAACUAUAACGGUCCUAAGGUAGCGAAAUUCCUUGUCGGGUAAGUUCCGACCUGCACGAAUGGCGUAAUGAUGGCCAGGCUGUCUCCACCCGAGACUCAGUGAAAUUGAACUCGCUGUGAAGAUGCAGUGUACCCGCGGCAAGACGGAAAGACCCCGUGAACCUUUACUAUAGCUUGACACUGAACAUUGAGCCUUGAUGUGUAGGAUAGGUGGGAGGCUUUGAAGUGUGGACGCCAGUCUGCAUGGAGCCGACCUUGAAAUACCACCCUUUAAUGUUUGAUGUUCUAACGUGGACCCGUUACCCGGGUUGCGGACAGUGUCUGGUGGGUAGUUUGACUGGGGCGGUCUCCUCCUAAAGAGUAACGGAGGAGCACGAAGGUUGGCUAAUCCUGGUCGGACAUCAGGAGGUUAGUGCAAUGGCAUAAGCCAGCUUGACUGCGAGCGUGACGGCGCGAGCAGGUGCGAAAGCAGGUCAUAGUGAUCCGGUGGUUCUGAAUGGAAGGGCCAUCGCUCAACGGAUAAAAGGUACUCCGGGGAUAACAGGCUGAUACCGCCCAAGAGUUCAUAUCGACGGCGGUGUUUGGCACCUCGAUGUCGGCUCAUCACAUCUGGGGCUGAAGUAGGUCCCAAGGGUAUGGCUGUUCGCCAUUUAAAGUGGUACGCGAGCUGGGUUUAGAACGUCGUGAGACAGUUCGGUCCCUAUCUGCCGUGGGCGCUGGAGAACUGAGGGGGGCUGCUCCUAGUACGAGAGGACCGGAGUGGACGCAUCACUGGUGUUCGGGUUGUCAUGCCAAUGGCACUGCCCGGUAGCUAAAUGCGGAAGAGAUAAGUGCUGAAAGCAUCUAAGCACGAAACUUGCCCCGAGAUGAGUUCUCCCUGAGACUUAAAGUCUCCUGAAGGAACGUUGAAGACGACGACGUUGAUAGGCCGGGUGUGUAAGCGCAGCGAUGCGUUGAGCUAACCGGUACUAAUGAACCGUGAGGCUUAACCUUACAACGCCGAAG
rnacentral:rRNA from 1 species